rnacentral:tRNA from 1 species
GGAGAGGUGGCUGAGUGGUUGAAGGCAACGGUUUCGAAAACCGUCGUUGGCGUUUGCGCUAACCCAGGGUUCAAAUCCCUGCCUCUCCG